AGAUAGACGAAGAAGUGAACAAGUAAUGAUCCUUUGGAAACAAGAGAUGCUAUGGUGGUGAAAAUAGCACAUAAGAAGGUAAAUGAAUACAUCACGGAGUUGAGUACCGAACAUAUAAGGUUUAUAAGUAGGCUACCUCUGGUUAACACCCAUUAUCGUGUUUCGAGUUGUUAUACAUUUGUAUAAAACAGAGGUGGUACCGCGGUUUUCUAAUCGUCCUCAUU
rnacentral:ncRNA from 1 species